UCCUCCCUCAAACCCCCGGGUUUGGUGUUGGACCGCGUUGGGGGACCGUUCGCGGCCUCCCCAACUGGUCUCAAAGACAAUGACGGCGUCCGUGGGACCCUCUUCGCACCGAGCUUUCCGGAGCACGCGUCGAGUCGCAAGGUCCCGGGGACCCGGCCUCCUCAAAAACUAUUUUUUCA
rnacentral:misc_RNA from 1 species